AUUGAACGCUGGCGGCAGGCUUAACACAUGCAAGUCGAGCGAGCGGCGGACUGGUGAGUAAUGUCUGGGAAACUGCCUGAUGGAGGGGGAUAACUCCUGGAAACGGUAGCUAAUACCGCAUACCAUCAGAUGUGCCCAUAUGGGAUUAGCUUGUAGGUGAGGUAACGGCUCACCUAGGCGACGAUCCCUAGCUGGUCUGAGAGGAUGAUUAGCCACACUGGGACUGAGACACGGCCCAGACUCCGACGGGAGGCAGCAGUGGGGAAUAUUGCACAAGGGGCGCAAGCCUGAUGCAGCAAUGCCGCGUGUAUGAAGAAGGCCUUAGGGUUGUAAAGUACUUUCAGCGGGGAGGCGGUACCCGCAGAAGAAGCACCGGCUAACUCCGUGCCAGCAGCCGCGGUAAUAC
rnacentral:rRNA from 1 species